rnacentral:sRNA from 1 species
CUUCCUCAUCUACAAGUGAAGACGGGUGAUAUGUGCCUGGGUUAAAGGAGACAAAGCCCCAGUAACCCUGCCUGGCACGUGAGUGAUACCUCAAAGACAGCUUUUGUUGGCUCUGGCCAUGGGUGAAUGUGGACUUCAGCCCAGCCUGCAGCAGGAUUUGCAUUUGCCAGGAUCCCCAGGAGGGGUGUAUGUGGGCUCAAGUCUGGGAAGCCCUGCCCUGAGGCACACAGCACAUUCCAGAGUGCGGGCAGCUUGAUGAAGGACAGCAGGGUCUCUGAAGACCAGGGCUGCUGCUGUUUCCUGUAAAUACAGCAGUGGGCUGGACUCAAAAUGCCUCCCCACUGUGUCCCUGAAAGUCAUCUUAGUUUUCUGCAUCUUCCUUACAGAUGACUCUUCUACAAAAGUGGACAUUAAGGAGACCUACGAGGUAGAAGCCAGCACUUUCUGCUUCCCUGAAUCCGUGGAUGUGGGUGGUGCGUCACCCCACGGCAAGACCAUCAGUGAGAGUGAGCUGAGCGCCAGUGCCACUGAGCUGCUGCAGGACUAC